AUUGAACGCUGGCGGCAGGCCUAACACAUGCAAGUCGAACGAGUGGCGGACGGGUGAGUAAUGUAUGGGGAACUGCCCGAUAGUGGGGGAUAACUACUGGAAACGGUAGCUAAUACCGCAUACCAUCGGAUGUACCCAGAUGGGAUUAGCUAGUUGGUGGGGUAACGGCUCACCAAGGCGACGAUCUCUAGCUGGUCUGAGAGGAUGACCAGCCACACUGGAACUGAGACACGGUCCAGACUCCUACGGGAGGCAGCAGUGGGGAAUAUUGCACAAUGGGCGCAAGCCUGAUGCAGCCAUGCCGCGUGUAUGAAGAAGGCCUUCGGGUUGUAAAGUACUUUCAGCGGGGAGGCGUUACCCGCAGAAGAAGCACCGGCUAACUCCGUGCCAGCAGCCGCGGUAAUAC
rnacentral:rRNA from 1 species